ACUAGAUGUAGUGACAUGUACCUGUAGUCCCAGCUUCUUAGAAGGCUGAGGCAGGAGGAUCACUUGAGCCCAGGAAUUUGAGGCCAGCCUGGGCAACAUAGUGAGAACCCAUCUCAA
rnacentral:sRNA from 1 species